CCCACGGGUAAGGUUUUCAAAGAACGAGACAAAGAGAUAUACAUGUCUUUCAAAGAACGAGGCAAACACAUAUACUGUAUACGUGCUAUUUCACUUCGUAUCAUCGUAUCAUCGUAUCACGCAAUAAUAUAGGUUACCCAGGCUUUUAUAACAGCGCGGUCAUAUAGUUAUUACGUAAUCAUUCUCACUUCGUAUCAUCGUAUCAUGAUAACAAGGGAUACCUUCAAAAGUGGACGGGUAUUCUGCAAUUUAGCCUCAUAAUCAACAAUUUUUAAUGUACUAAUGUGUAAACAAUAUUCAAUGUAGGCUACUAGUGUUUAAACAUGAAUGCAAUUUCUACGAUGUAUAAAAUAAGAGCUAUAUUUCCAGCAAAAGUUUUUUAAUAUGUAUGGUAUUGCUACUAUUAUACGCCCAAAAAGUUUGAAUGUGUAUGAUUGACCUGCUGCAGUAAUUUAUGUUCCUUGAAUAGUUUAUGUAUAUUACUCAAGUCUCAACAGUUGACGUUGGCAAAUCCAAAUGUAAUCCAUGCAUUAGGCCAAUGAAAAUUGAUAUCAUGUUUCUCGUCCCCGCCCGCAUGGGAUUUAUCUGCCGCACGAAAAUUUUUCAUUAUUCAUUAUUAUUGAAAAAUAGGCUUAAAUUUUUCCGCCCUUCUCUAAUCCCAAUCAGUAAACAUCCAAUAAACAAUUUGAGAAUUAAAAGAGUGGGGGGGGGG